UUGUAGGACACUCUAUACGGAGUUACAAAGGACGACAUUAGACGAAUCAUCUGGAAAGAUGAAUCAAAGAAGGUAAUAAUCCUGUAGUCGAAAAUGUUGUCUCUCUUGAGUGGAUCCUGAGUACGACGGAGCACGUGAAAUUCCGUCGGAAUCUGGGAGGACCAUCUCCUAAGGCUAAAUACUCUCUAGUGACCGAUAGUGAACCAGUACCGUGAGGGAAAGGUGAAAAGCACCCCGGAAGGGGAGUGAAAUAGAACCUGAAACCGUGUGCUUACAAGUAGUCAGAGCCCGUUAAUGGGUGAUGGCGUGCCUUUUGUAGAAUGAACCGGCGAGUUACGAUUUGAUGCAAGGUUAAGCAGUAAAUGUGGAGCCGUAGCGAAAGCGAGUCUGAAUAGGGCGUUUAGUAUUUGGUCGUAGACCCGAAACCAGGUGAUCUACCCUUGGUCAGGUUGAAGUUCAGGUAACACUGAAUGGAGGACCGAACCGACUUACGUUGAAAAGUGAGCGGAUGAACUGAGGGUAGCGGAGAAAUUCCAAUCGAACCUGGAGAUAGCUGGUUCUCUCCGAAAUAGCUUUAGGGCUAGCCUCAAGUGAUGAUUAUUGGAGGUAGAGCACUGUUUGGACGAGGGGCCCCUCUCGGGUUACCGAAUUC
rnacentral:rRNA from 1 species